CAGCACAAAGGGGAGCCGAGGCUCCCCUUUAAUUUGUCGUUGCGUGCUCUUUUUUUAUUAUUAAGGGGCGGUCUAUUGUUGUUUUUGGCAACCGUGGCCCUUUACUGCUGUUUUGUGCGACCCCCAUUCAGGGUCAAGAGCAAACGUAUUUUUUUGAGCGCUGAUGACUUCUCGACAAGCGAUCCAACCAGUUCGGGAGCUACCUAGAGGUAGUU
rnacentral:misc_RNA from 2 species